rnacentral:rRNA from 1 species
GUGUCAGCCGCCGCGGUAAUACGUAGGGUGCUAACGUUGUUCGGAAUUAUUGGGCGUAAAGCGCGUGUAGGUUGCCAAGUAAGUUGAAUGUGAAAGCCCUCGGCUCAACCGAGGAAGUGCAUUCAAAACUGCUCGGCUAGAGGAUGGUAGAGGAAGGUGGAAUUCCUAGUGUAGAGGUGAAAUUCGUAGAUAUUAGGAGGAAUACCUGUGGCGAAGGCGGCCUUCUGGGCCAUUCCUGACACUGAGACGCGAAAGCGUGGGUAGCAAACAGGAUUAGAAACCCCUGUAGUCC